rnacentral:misc_RNA from 1 species
AAUUCUCAACCUUUCAAGCUCUUAAAGGGCUAGUCAGGCUUGGAUUGUGGAAGAUUUGCUGGCUUGUAAAGAUAGUCAGCUCUUCUGAAAUGCAUUAGCAAAAGAUUCAUGGCUGAUCAUCAUUGGUAUGAUAAUCAUGUUGUCUUUUUUAUACCAUUGGGACAUCAGUUUUAUUUUGCUUCUAACAGUCUGGAAGGUUCCAGACAGCUUUGGACAAU